UUAAUAUAUCAAAGCAAUCGGUUACCACCUACUGCACAAAAGUCUACACACACACUCAUUUUUUUCUAAUGAAUUUCUAAAUUAUACUAAUCCAAUACGCACACCUGUACACGUUGUGCCUUCGUGAGACGUUCAUUUGUAUAAUCAUCAUUAUACGUGAUCAUGAUGUAUUAAAAAAAUAUAUUGUUGUUGUGGUGGAAGGGCAGAGGGAUGCACUUGCCUAUCGAUUGCAAUCGUAAAUGAAAAGCAAAAAAAAAACGGUAACGCACAGGAGUCGCGGCACAGUGUAGACUGCUAAUACUCAUUACAGUUAAUAAAUUUAGUAUGAAAUCGAUAUUUUAUAUUGUAAUUUUUACGGAGAAGUUAUAAAGUAGCUGAAUAUUUCGUUACUCGUAUGACAAAUUAGUGUCACAAUUGAAAUGCUCGAUGCAAAAGCUAUUCAGAAAAUCAUUUUUUCAACAAAUAUACUGGUCUACGGGGACUUUACAUCAGAGACCAGAGAAUACUUUUCUAAAACCAUUUUUGCGGUGAUAAGCAUGGAAUUAGCAUUUCGAAAUGAAAUAUCUACUACAGAAAAUAAGUGCGAAGUACCAUUAAUAACCAUUAAGGUAGUUCAUCUGGUAGCAGUGAUGUUGAAGCUUAUCAGGAACACCAUUCAACAAAUAUGUAUCAAACAAUAUUACUGAAUUAUUGACAAUGGAAUCUGAUAAAGAUUUAGAAUAUGAAUUAUCUUAUCUGCUGUUGAAAUCACUGCUACAUGCAUAUCUGCUAAUAUUGUAAAUAAGAUUUUUUUCAGUUCAAUUUUAAUUUGAAAACUCAAAUAUGUUUUUAAUGUAAUAUAUUAUAUCUAUAAUUCAGCAAUCCAUAACUAUUAUCAGUAUUAUAUCAA